CAGUCGCCGCGGUAAUACGGAGGGUGCAAGCGUUAAUCGGAAUUACUGGGCGUAAAGCGCACGCAGGCGGUCUGUCAAGUCGGAUGUGAAAUCCCUGAGCUUAACUUAGGAAUUGCAUUCGAUACUGGGAAGCUAGAGUAUGGGAGAGGAUGGUAGAAUUCCAGGUGUAGCGGUGAAAUGCGUAGAGAUCUGGAGGAAUACCGAUGGCGAAGGCAGCCAUCUGGCCUAAUACUGACGCUGAGGUACGAAAGCAUGGGGAGCAAACAGGAUUAGAUACCCCAGUAGUCCCUGUCUCUUAUAC
rnacentral:rRNA from 1 species